rnacentral:rRNA from 1 species
AUUGAACGCUGGCGGUAGGCCUAACACAUGCAAGUCGAACGCGAAAGUCCUGGAUGAGUAGAGUGGCGGACGGGUGAGUAACGCGUAGGAAUCUAUCCUGUAGUGGGGGAGUAACGUUUCGAAAGGAACGCUAAUACCGCAUACGCCCCACGGGGAAAGAGGGGAGUCUUCGGACCUCUUGCUAAUAGAUGAGCCUAGGUCGGAUUAGCUAGUUGGUGGGGUAAAGGCUCACCAAGGCGACGAUCUGUAGCUGGUCUGAGAGGAUGGCCAGCCACACUGGAACUGAGACACGGUCCAGACUCCUACGGGAGGCAGCAGUGGGGAAUAUUGGACAAUGGGCGCAAGCCUGAUCCAGCCAUGCCGCGUGUGUGAAGAAGGCCCUCGGGUUGUAAAGCACUUUAAGCGAGGAGGAAGGUCAUCAUACUAAUAUUAUGAUGAAUUGACGUUACUCGCAGAAUAAGCACCGGCUAACUCUGUGCCAGCAGC